CAGUAGCCGCGGUAAUACGGAGGGAGCUAGCGUUGUUCGGAAUUACUGGGCGUAAAGCGCACGUAGGCGGUUUUUCAAGUCAGAGGUGAAAGCCCGGGGCUCAACCCCGGAACUGCCUUUGAAACUAGGAGACUUGAAUCUUGGAGAGGUCAGUGGAAUUCCGAGUGUAGUGGUGAAAUUCGUAGAUAUUCGGAAGAACACCAGUGGCGAAGGCGACUGACUGGACAAGUAUUGACGCUGAGGUGCGAAAGCGUGGGGAGCAAACAGGAUUAGAUACCCCAGUAGUCCCUGUCUCUUAUAC
rnacentral:rRNA from 1 species